GGAGAGAUGUCCGAGCGGUUUAAGGAGCCAGUCUUGAAAACUGGUGACUCCAAAAGAGCCGUGGGUUCGAAUCCCACUCUCUCCG
rnacentral:tRNA from 2 species